rnacentral:rRNA from 1 species
AUACCGUAGCUUGCUACACCAUAGACUGUGAGUUGCGAACGGGUGAGUAACGCGUAGGUAACCUGCCUAUUAGAGGGGGAUAACUAUUGGAAACGAUAGCUAAUACCGCAUAACAGUAUGUAACACAUGUUAGAUGCUUGAAAGAUGCAAUUGCAUCGCUAGUAGAUGGACCUGCGUUGUAUUAGCUAGUAGGUAGGGUAAAGGCCUACCUAGGCAACGAUACAUAGCCGACCUGAGAGGGUGAUCGGCCACACUGGGACUGAGACACGGCCCAGACUCCUACGGGAGGCAGCAGUAGGGAAUCUUCGGCAAUGGGGGGAACCCUGACCGAGCAACGCCGCGUGAGUGAAGAAGGUUUUCGGAUCGUAAAGCUCUGUUGUUAAGGAAGAACGAGUGUGAGAAUGGAAAGUUCAUACUGUGACGGUACUUAACCAGAAAGGGACGGCUAACUACGUGCCAGCAGCCGCGGUAAUACGUAGGUCCCGAGCGUUGUCCGGAUUUAUUGGGCGUAAAGCGAGCGCAGGCGGUUAGAAAAGUCUGAAGUGAAAGGCAGUGGCUCAACCAUUGUAGGCUUUGGAAACUGUUUAACUUGAGUGCAGAAGGGGAGAGUGGAAUUCCAUGUGUAGCGGUGAAAUGCGUAGAUAUAUGGAGGAACACCGGUGGCGAAAGCGGCUCUCUGGUCUGUAACUGACGCUGAGGCUCGAAAGCGUGGGGAGCGAACAGGAUUAGAUACCCUGGUAGUCCACGCCGUAAACGAUGAGUGCUAGGUGUUAGGUCCUUUCCGGGACUUAGUGCCGCAGCUAACGCAUUAAGCACUCCGCCUGGGGAGUACGACCGCAAGGUUGAAACUCAAAGGAAUUGACGGGGGCCCGCACAAGCGGUGGAGCAUGUGGUUUAAUUCGA